rnacentral:rRNA from 1 species
GAUGAACGCUAGCGGCAGGCUUAACACAUGCAAGUCGAGGGGUAUAGUUCUUCGGAAUUAGAGACCGGCGCACGGGUGCGUAACGCGUAUGCAAUCUACCUUUCACAGAGGGAUAGCCCCAGAGAAAUUUGGAUUAAUACCUCAUAGUAUAGCAGUUUCGCAUGAAACCACUAUUAAAGUCACAACGGUGAAAGAUGAGCAUGCGUCCCAUUAGCUAGUUGGUAAGGUAACGGCUUACCAAGGCAACGAUGGGUAGGGGUCCUGAGAGGGAGAUCCCCCACACUGGUACUGAGACACGGACCAGACUCCUACGGGAGGCAGCAGUGAGGAAUAUUGGACAAUGGGCGCAAGCCUGAUCCAGCCAUGCCGCGUGCAGGAUGACGGUCCUAUGGAUUGUAAACUGCUUUAUACAGGAAGAAACACUACUUCGUGAAGUAGCUUGACGGUACUGUAAGAAUAAGGAUCGGCUAACUCCGUGCCAGCAGCCGG